AUUGAACGCUGGCGGCAUGCCUUACACAUGCAAGUCGAACGGCAGCACGGGAGCUUGCUCCUGGUGGCGAGUGGCGAACGGGUGAGUAAUGCAUCGGAACGUGCCCUGAAGUGGGGGAUAACGUAGCGAAAGUUACGCUAAUACCGCAUAUUCUGUGAGCAGGAAAGCAGGGGAUCUUCGGACCUUGCGCUUUUGGAGCGGCCGAUGUCGGAUUAGCUAGUUGGUGGGGUAAAGGCCCACCAAGGCGACGAUCCGUAGCGGGUCUGAGAGGAUGAUCCGCCACACUGGAACUGAGACACGGUCCAGACUCCUACGGGAGGCAGCAGUGGGGAAUUUUGGACAAUGGGCGCAAGCCUGAUCCAGCCAUGCCGCGUGAGUGAAGAAGGCCUCGGUUGUAAGCUCUUCGUGGAGAAUGCUGGUAUACCUCGAGUAGAUGACGGUA
rnacentral:rRNA from 1 species